rnacentral:lncRNA from 1 species
GGAGGGAAGAAGAGAGAGAGAUGAACAAAAGGUUUAUUUAUGAAGUUUACAUUUGAUUUCCUUUCCCUUGAUAACUUCCUCAUCUGAGUUUAGUGUCUAGACUAAAUUGAUGUACAUUUGGUGACUGAGGAAGAGGGUCAGAAAGGUGGGUUUGAAUUAGCAUCAGCAAAGUUAGCCAGAUUCAUACAGACUUUUUUUUUCAAUUUCUUAUGCACACACUGAGCAUUCGAUACGUUGGCAUCCAAAGUGAGGGUUUUUGCUAACGUCUGGGAACCAGUGAUAUAGAUGAUAUGAAGCAAGACUAGCUGGAGGUUGUCAUGGGGAUGCUUUUUCAUUCCAAACAGGGUGCAACUCAUGUUUCAUUUGCUUUGUGCCUCUCUGUCCUGUCUUCUUCUUCAUUCAUCCAACAACAUUUUGAUGACCGUCUUCCCAGCUCUGAAAAGCGGACUGGGUACAGGAGAAACGAUAGAGCAACGCUGUUGUCCUUAUCUCUGCGUGGACCAAUCAGAGUGUAUUUUACAACCCUUCACCUCCUUCUAUUCACCUUAAGGCACCUACUUAGUCCUGACUGUAGAACUUAGACAUUGUGUAUCUACUGUUACUCUGGUGACUGUAUAGUUUCUUGUAGCUACUGCAGUCUGUCACUGUAGACAAACAACUGAGAUUAGCUGUAUUUCAGCAAGCUUUUACUUAUGGAUAUUGGUAUUUGAUUCUCCUUUAAUUUUCUUGCCAGAUAUUGUGAUUCCUCUGAUUGCUGCACCAUCACCCUAGCCGUAUGUACACAUACAAUCCAUUCUUCAGCUCAUGGCCUGUGCAGUGUCAGACAGUGGCUAGACUUGGCCUGUAGGCCGCAGUUUGCUGACCUCUGAGACAGAACCAAGGCACCACUUUUAAGCUUUGAGCUUGUCUUUGAACGCCAGACACCAUCUAGAAGGGAUCAGUCUGGGUGCAUGUAAAGACCUCUUGGGAGUGUGAGUGUCCAAGUAACUUUAUUU